CUCUUGUCCACGUUUUACAACGAUGGUCAGCGCCGGCCGUGCCGUCGCGCACGUUCAACCCGUCCUCGAAUAAAAAGAUCGCAGCUACUAGCUUCGAAAGAAGCCAUUAGCCGUUAGCCAUUAGCCUUUAGUAGGGCCGGAUUUCUGUCGCAGACUGAAGGUCUUCAGCUAAGAGCUAAGGGCUAAGUGCUAAUGGCUGGUUUUCCGGGCCUGUAGCUCAGUUGGCUAGAGCGCACCCCUGAUAAGGGUGAGGUCGGUAGUUCAAUUCUACCCAGGCCCACCACAACUCACGGGGCUGUAGCUCAGUUGGGAGAGCACCUGGUUUGCAACCAGGGGGUCACCGGUUCGAGCCCGGUCAGCUCCACCAUUCACGCAAUUAGCACAUAGCAAUUGGCAAUCAGCCGAAAACGAUUUGGUUUGGCUGGUUGCUCAUUGCUAGCUGCUAACUGCAGCUCGUGCCGCCCAGGCGGCUAACAGGACGAUAUUUGACAACUGAAUAGAUUGAUGUAACUACAAAGGCGCAAGAGAAAUUUUAUGAGUACCUUAGAAAUUUCUGCUGGGGUGGCCGUCCGUGAUGCAAACGGGCAUACUGGCCGCGAUGAGCAGAUCUGGAUGAGGUCAUAAAAGGAGCUCUUAGCAAUUGGCAAUUGGCAAAUAGCAACAGCGGAGCCCGCGAGGGUUUGGCUGAUUGCUGAGUGCUGGCUGCUGAGUGCUCUGGGUAAAUUUUAUGGUCAAGUUACUAAGGGCGCAUGGUGGAUGCCUUGGCAGAAGAUGGCGACGAAGGACGUGGCAAGCUGCGAUAAGCCUCGAUGAGCUGCAAGCAAGCUUUGACUCGGGGAUGUCCGAAUGGGGAAACCCGGAAGGGCG
rnacentral:misc_RNA from 1 species